rnacentral:rRNA from 1 species
CCUACGGGAGGCAGCAGUGGGGAAUAUUGCGCAAUGGGCGAAAGCCUGACGCAGCGACGCCGCGUGAGGGAUGAAGGUCUUCGGAUCGUAAACCUCUGUCAGCAGGGAAGAACGGUCACUUUGCUAAUCAGCCGUGAAUUGACGGUACCUGCAAAGGAAGCACCGGCUAACUCCGUGCCAGCAGCCGCGGUAAUACGGAGGGUGCGAGCGUUAAUCGGAAUUACUGGGCGGAAAGCGCUCGUAGGCGGUAUGUCAAGUCAAGGGUGAAAUCUCCGCGCUCAACGUGGGAACUACCGUUGAAACUGGCAGACUGGAGUGUGGGAGAGGAGAGUGGAAUUCGAGGUGUAGGAGUGAAAUCCGUAGAUAUCGGGAGGAACACCGGUGGCGAAGGCGACUAUCUGGAACGUAACUGACGCUGAGGAGCGAAAGCGUGGGUAGCAAACAGGAUUAGAUACCCUGGUAGUC